rnacentral:rRNA from 1 species
GCUCGAGUGGCGAACGGGUGAGUAACACGUGAGUAACCUGCCCUUGACUUUGGGAUAACUUCAGGAAACUGGGGCUAAUACCGGAUAGGACGAUGGUUUGGAUGCCAUUGUGGAAAGUUUUUCGGUGUGGGAUGAGCUCGCGGCCUAUCAGCUUGUUGGUGGGGUAAUGGCCUACCAAGGCGUCGACGGGUAGCCGGCCUGAGAGGGUGUACGGCCACAUUGGGACUGAGACACGGCCCAG